AAAGUACUCCCUCCGUCCCAAAAUUCUUGUCUUAGAUUUGUCUAGAUAUGGAUGUAUCAAGUCACAUUUUAGUAUUAGAUACAUCUGUAUCUAGACAAAUCUAAGACAAGAAAUUUGGGACCGAGGGAGUAGUUG
rnacentral:pre_miRNA from 1 species